CAGGAAGGCAGCCAUCCCACGCUGCCAGUCUGGGACAGAGGAACGCAGAUAGCGCCAACGACUGGCAUGCCAGGGAUGAAUGCUGGGAAAAGCACAAAGGCUGCUGUUCACAAAUCUGUGCGAAAGCGCCACAUCGCAGCGAUGGUACUGUUCUCAGCUGUGCUGCUGUCUGCACUGUUGUUGGCCUGUGGUGCUGCGUUAUGGAUGUGCAAAAAAUACCUAGUGUGCAAGAGAGAAGAAAGAGCAGCAGAACGAGCUCUUCCUGAUACCAACUGAGAGAGUGUUCCAGCUGGAGAUGAGGGCAGAACGGAGCUGGGAGAGGCAACAAGAGAGACUCCUGCCCAACCAAACCAGAAUCUCAACAAUAGUUCCAGUCCAUUCCAUUCUACCAUCCAAGAUACCAAAGGUCUUCAAAGUCAUCUGGAAGACCUGGAGCGUGAACUCAAAGCCAAAAAAGAAGUCCACGGGAACAGUCCUGAGUGCUGCUUUCUGUCAGAGGACAGCCCUGAAGCUGAGAGCGGAG
ensembl:lncRNA